rnacentral:ncRNA from 1 species
AAAAGGACUAUGAAGAGAAGAGUAUAUAUGAGAUGUAGUUAUAGAGAACUAGUGAUGGUGAGAUGCUAGUACGAGUCUUAUAUUGAAGAACAUCUCUGAGUCGUUAACCGAAAUUUUAUACUAUUUAAUGUAUAAAAUAGUAGACUUAAACGGAUCCAAACCGUUAAAAUUGGAGAAUAUUUAUUCAGAUAUUCUUUUGAGGAGAACAAGUAUUUUACUUGUUAAUUAGGGUGGUCUCGCGGAGUCAAUCUUUCGUCCCUUGU